rnacentral:tRNA from 1 species
GGGACAGUAGCUCAGUUGGUUAGAGCAGUGGAUUUUUAAUCCAUUGGUCGAGAGUUCGAAUCUCUCCUGUCCUA